UCGCUGGCAAAAUCCAGCGACCUGGUUUGACAGCCAGGAAUAUGACAGGCGGACACCCGCCAUUGGCGGUUUUUUU
rnacentral:sRNA from 1 species